AGUCAGGACAUGAGCCUUGCCUCAGGCUAUGGCAUCCAACUCGCUCAGACUCCUGGAAGCCCAUCAGGGUCUGUUUGCAAGGCAGUCUGCUGUGUGGCUGUUUGGCUGUUGCACAAAGGAGAAACGGGCAUUCCUAAAAUUCACUUUGGCAAGAAACCAGGCAGAGAUCUGUGGGACUUUAUAAAAAUGGAUUCCACCAGGCUGCAUAUCUGCCAAACUGACAUUCAGCUGUCCAAACUGCAGUGUUUCAUAAAGGUCCAGCUACCAAAUGAUGUACUGUGGAACAGAUGCCCAGUCAGCAUUGAUUCAUUAGCCUGAAGAUGAGGAAUGUGGGCUCUGGCCUAAGAAGAUUACAAAUCUGGAACAUGAAUUAUGACCUGGAGCAUUCUGGAAAUGGGACACUGAAACUGGACCACUCUAAACCUUGAAGUGCAGAAACUCAUGUUCUGUCCUGUAUAAACAACUACUGAACCUAAAGAAGUUCCCCUACUCAUAGAAUCAAGGCUGAAGAUGCACAGCAGAGCAAGAGCAUCCCUUCAGCAAAGUGGAGGUAAAGGUAGCAGCUGGUAGCAGUCUUUAUUGACAGUCUUCAUGGAGUGUGGAUUUAUGGUCCUAAAACUAUAGCAGAUCACAGUUUGCUGCAGUUUCUUCCUGGUAACUUUAUUAAAGGAUUAAGAAAUCUAGAAGAUUAAAGAAGAAGAGCGUGGUAUGUCGUAGAAUCAUAGAAUCACUUGAGUUGGAAGGGACCCUUAUAGGCAUCUGGUCCAACUCCUCUGCAAUGAACAGGGGCAGCUACAGCUCUAUCAGAUGCUCAGAGUCCGGUCUGAAAAGUGUCAUAAAGCAGUACUUCACCCUCACAGUGGUUCAAAGAGAGCUAAAUAAUUGAGUGCAUGAGUAGAGAGGUAUUGCCCUAUAGUGCCAACACAUGCACUGUGAUACAGAAUGCACUGUAUGGCACCCUGUGUUGCAGGGCAUGCUCAGGACUUUGGCAUCUAUGCACAGCAAUAAUUAUGGCUUUUAGCUCACAUCACACAUAUGUUGAUGGAGGGGGGAUAGGAUGGAAGGGGAAAAAAAAGGCUGAAGUAAUGUGUGACACUUAGGUACUAGACAACACUGAGCUUCAGCCUGGGAGCUCAACUAAACCAAUCUGCUCAGCAGAUACUUGCUAGAGUGAGUGAGCAGAAAAAUGUGUUUUGUUUUGUUUUGUUUUUCUCAUAGCUUUUAAUCUUAAUUUUGUAUUUGGUUGUUGUUGUUGAACAAACCCAGGACAUGUUUAAAAAACCGAACCCUAGAAGGAAGCAAAUUCACAUUGUCAGAUUAUUUCUGGAUGUGGACGCCUAAAGUACAGCUUGCAAAUUGUUCCUCCUCUGUUCUUUUUUCCACCCUGUCAUUGGACUAAAUGCUAAAAAAUGUUAUGUCAUUACCUUUAGUGUUCAAGCUCAGACAAGUCCUAGUGUCUUCCAGAGCUCCUCUGAAGACUCACCUUUCCUACACUGCUGCAGCAGUAGAGAAAAGGAGAGAGCUGUGUUCUUCUUCAUUAAUCUGGUUAUUGAAUGAGAUUUCUCUCAUGAGAAAGCUCUGUAGAACCCUGUAGAAUACUUUUUUAUUUUCUAGAAUAAUUCACUUCCUUCUGAAAGCAAAUUGUCAUGCCUAAAAGAUACAAGUGCUUUAAUUAAGGAUGGAUUGCUUUCUAAAGGAAUUUCUCCAGCUCAAGCUGGGCACCACUAAGCUUAAAGCAGGAACUGGACUGAGAACUUCCCACAACAGACCACGGCCUCAGCUGGUCAGCACAGCCUGACUGGAAGGACCUUCUCAGCCCCAGUGCUGCAGCACUGAGUUUCAAAAGAUUCCUGCUACAGCACAUCAUUUUAGAAAAGGAUCUGAGACUGAAUGAUGUCUUUGCUGCUCUUUGGAACAGCAGGUGUCCAUUCCCUCCCUCUCACCACACCCACAGCUGGGAAUUGCUCAGGAUGUCUGUGACAAAGAAAGCUGGAGAAAACAAGAUUCAAGCGCUCAGGAUCAGGGUGUAAAUCAGACAACCAGCCGAUGGGAGUGGAACAGCACACAAAGGAAAACAAUCUUCAGAUCACUCAGUCUUACCCCAGCAGCAAUGAAGCCCUCUGACAGACAGAACAGUAUGGAGCUCUUGCCCUGGAAGACUGGCUGGUAUCCUCUGAGUCUCUGCAGCUCCUUGGUCUCAAGGUAUUACCCCUGUGUUGCAUUAGGAUAUUUAGAUGUUGGUCUGCUCCAUCUCAUUCUGAUCUCUUAUACACAGGGGUGAGUUCUUUAAUGUCUGGUUAAGAUCCACUUUGUCAAAAUAACUCAGAAUUACAGAGUGAGGCUCAAAUGCAGAAGUGGUGAGAAAAGUCAUUCUAAUGUUUUCUUCGUUUUAUUCAAUUCACUGUCUGUGUGUAUAGUACCUAGAGCUAGGAUGCCUGUAGGCUGCACCACACUGCAGAUAACAAGGAAGACAUCUUGAAAUCCUCACAUUAAGAAAUGCAUUACAACACAGAUUUCCUCUCAGUCCUGCUUUAGUAUAGUGAAUGGAAACAGAUAACCAUAUUCCCCUGUAGGAAAUAAAGGAAAAGAAAAAGCUAAAGUUAAAACAGCAGAUGAAAUAAAUCUCUUAGGCUGAUGACUCAGUACAUGAUAGCACUUUGAUCUUAACAAUCAGAAAACAAUUUGACUUCAGUCUUUCUUCUGGGCCAGGAUCACAACAAAAUUUUAAUCUAAAUGGUUCUGUUCUAACUUGAGUAGUAUUUAUUCCCAGCCUUUACCAUUCUGUUUCAAUGAGAUGCAAAGAUUGCAUCUUAUUAACUAAAGGAAGAUAAACCUUUUUUUAACAGCAUGAAGACGGUAGCUCUGCAACCAAGUGUAGCACUCAAAACACCAAAUGUACCUAGAGAUGUAAUGUGGCAAGGAAACUUUCCAUGCAUUCAAUGCGAGAUGACGGCACACAGAUAAAAUACUAAUCCCUUGUUAUCAGCUGUAGGUACCAGACUAAAUGCAGUUGUCAGAAAUUGGCAGUGUUCAAGAAGCACCUGGAUAGGGAACUAGGAUAUGGUUUAGGGGUUUCCUGUAGACAUGGUAAAGAGAGGACGGUUGGACUAGAUGAUCUUGUAGGUCCUUUCCAACCUUGUGAUUCUAUGAUUCUAAAUGUAGUCAUGUUGUUAGUAUUGCUUGAGGACUAGAGCAUCACAAGUAUUUGACCACUAACACCCGCUUAUUUCAAGGAAAGGCAAUCCAGCAUCUUAGCCUCAGUAGAUGGAGAAGUAUGAAUCCAUCCCUCUGAAUCCAGUAAGUCUGUCUCAUCCAUGUCUCUGUCCUGGCAGUUAAGAUGAUUGCAGUAAAAGAUGUUGAGUUUUUAAAUGAUACUUUAACGCCCUGCUUUUUCAAAUCAAAGGACAAAAAGGUUUUGUUUUGUUUUGUUUGUUGUUGUUUUUUUUUUUAAUCUCUUAAGGUAUAAUAUUACUGAGGGAAGAUUUGCAUUCAGUAUCCAUAUUGGGUAUUCUGAGUGUAUUCUUUGUUUAUUACCUGUGUUCAGACAUUAGCAAUUCAUUGCUGUUAUUGUUAUACAAACCAGAAAACAACAACAUGUACCAGUCUCCACCUCAGGAAACAUACAAGCUAAAGAGAAUCAUCUGAAUAUGCUUUAGAAGUUCCUGCCAGACUUGCUGUUUACGGCCACUGCAGAUGUCCCCUAAUUCAGGUGCACUCACAAGGAGCAACAUGUGUGCACCGAGGCAUGGGAAUGGAUUUACAUACAUGUUUGUCCAGACAAUGCUCUCUACAGUCUACUUCUGGCCCUGCCUUAAGUGAACCACUUCCAGAGAGUGUGUACUAAGACACCCACCUGCUGUUAAAUGGGCAGCAUGGACGAGGACUCGAACCCCUGGCUUCAACUCAAAAUGGAC